AGUCAAUAGAUACCCAGGUAGUCCACGCCGUAAACGAUGGAUACUAGGUGUCCGGGAUGUUAACCUCCUGGGUACCGAAAGCUCACGCAUUAAGUAUCCCGCCUGGGGAGUACGGUCGCAAGACUAAAACUCAAAGGAAUUGACGGGGGCCCGCACAAGCGGUGGAGUAUGUGGUUUAAUUCGAAAGCAACGCGCAGAACCUUACCUGGGCUUAACAUCCUCAGACAUCCGCAGAGAUGCGGCUUUCCCUUCGGGGACUGAGAGAUAGGUGCUGCAUGGCUGUCGUCAGCUCGUGUCGUAAGAUGUUGGGUUAAGUCCCGCAACGAGCGCAACCCUUGUCCUUAGUUGCCACCAUUAAGUUGGGCACUCUGAGGAGACUGCCGGUGUUAAACCGGAGGAAGGCGGGGAUGACGUCAAGUCCUCAUGGCCCUUACGUCCAGGGCUACACACGUACUACAAUGGCAGAGACAAAGGGUCGCGAAACCGCGAGGUGGAGCUAAUCCCAAAAACACUGUCUCAGUCCGGAUUGAAGUCUGCAACUCGACUUC
rnacentral:rRNA from 1 species